UACGUAGGGGGCAAGCGUUGUCCGGAUUUAUUGGGCGUAAAGGGUGCGUAGGCGGUUUGGCAAGUCUUGUGUGAAAUCUUUGGGCUCAACCCAAAGUCUGCAUAAGAAACUGCCGGGCUUGAGUAUGGGAGAGGUGAGUGGAAUUUCCGGUGUAGCGGUGAAAUGCGUAGAUAUCGGAAGGAACACCUGUGGCGAAAGCGGCUCACUGGACCAUUACUGACGCUGAGGCACGGAAAGCUAAGGGGAGCAAACCAGG
rnacentral:rRNA from 1 species